rnacentral:lncRNA from 1 species
CUCACACACACAUAUACACAUUCACACACUCAAACACAUAUACACACUCACACACUCAAACACACAUAUACACACAUUCACACACAUAUACACACACAUACACACACAUACAUACACACACACACACGGUUAUCCUCUUAAAAAUUUGGAGUUCUGGGCAAAGGAGUUGGCUCAUUGGGUUAAAGUCCUUCCUUGAGGAAUUUGAUAACUUGAGUUCAUUCCCUGGGACCCAUGUUGGUAGAAGACUAACAAGUAACAACUCAAAGUUGUCCUCAUACAUGUGGAGACAUGUAUGUCAUAGGGGAGCCCAGAGCCUCACAUGUGCUAAGCACAUGCUCUACCUUUAAGUCACACUCACAAUCUUAUUUAUUUUAUGUGUGUGGAUGUUUUACCCAAAGUCUUAUUAUUUAUUUCAACUAAUUAUUUAUAUAAUUUAUUUUAUGUGGGGGUGUUUUGCCUGUAUGUGUAUUUGUACAGUGUCUGCAGAAGACAGCACUGGGUCCCCUGGAACUGGAACUAGAGGCAGCUGUUAGUCUGCCAAGCAGGGGCUGGAGGAGUGACUAGUGGCCGUAACUUCAGAGCAGUCUCACUGGCCUCCUUGCCUAGUCUUUUUUAAA